CCUACGGGGUGCAGCAGUGAGGAAUAUUGGUCAAUGGCCGGAAGGCUGAACCAGCCAUGCCGCGUGAAGGUCAGUGCCCUAUGGGCGUUAAACUUCUUUUGUGCGGGAGCAAUAAUGGUCACGUGUGGCCAGACGAGAGUACCGUACGAAUAAGCAUCGGCUAACUCCGUGCCAGCAGCCGCGGUUAUACGGGGGAUGCAAGCGUUAUCCGGAUUUAUUGGGGUUAAAGGGUGCGUAGGCUGGGAGGUAAGUCAGCGGUGAAAUGCCCCCGCUCAACGGGGUGAAGUGCCAUUGAUACUGCCUUGCUGGAAUGCGGAUGCCGUGGGAGGAAUGUGUGGUGUAGCGGUGAAAUGCAUAGAUAUCACACAGAACACCGAUUGCGAAGGCAUCUCACGAAUCCGCGAUUGACGCUGAUGCACGAAAGCGUGGGUAUCAAACAGGAUUAGAUACCCCAGUAGUC
rnacentral:rRNA from 1 species